rnacentral:misc_RNA from 1 species
GAUGAAGAACGUAGCGAAAUGCGAUAAGUAAUGUGAAUUGCAGAAUUCAGUGAAUCAUCGAAUCUUUGAACGCACAUUGCGCCCGCCAGUAUUCUGGCGGGCAUGCCUGUCUGAGCGUCAUUUCAACCCUCAUGCCCCUAGGGCGUGGUGUUGGGGAUCGGCCAAAGCCCGCGAGGGACGGCCGGCCCCUAAAUCUAGUGGCGGACCCGUCGUGGCCUCCUCUGCGAAGUAGUGAUAUUCCGCAUCGGAGAGCGGUGAGCCCCUGCCGUUAAACCCCCAACUUUCCAAGGUUGACCUCAGAUCAGGUAGGAAUACCCGCUGAACUUAAGCAUAUCAAUAAGCGGAGGA